GCCAGGCAUGGUGGCACAUGUCUAUAAUCCCAGUGACCUGGGAGGCUGAGGCAGGAGGAUUGCAAGUUUGAGGCCAGCCUCAGCAACUUAGCAAGACCUUAUCUCAA
rnacentral:sRNA from 1 species